rnacentral:rRNA from 1 species
UACGGGGGGUGCAAGCGUUGCUCGGAAUCACUGGGCGUAAAGCGUCCGCAGGCGGACUGGUCGGUCGGUCGUGAAAGCCCGGGGCUCAACCCCGGAACUGCGAUCGAAACCUCCAGUCUGGAGUACGGGAGAGGGGGGUGGAAUUCCUGGUGUAGAGGUGAAAUUCGUAGAUAUCAGGAGGAACACCGGUGGCGAAAGCGGCCCCCUGGCCCGAUACUGACGCUCAUGGACGAAAGCGUGGGGAGCAAACAGG